CCUGGUGGCUAUAGCAAGUAGGUACCACCCGAUUCCAUAUCGAACUCGGAAGUGAAAAUGCUUAGCGCCGAUGAUAGUAUGGAGCUUCUCCAUGUGAAAGUAGGUCACUGCCAGGU
rnacentral:rRNA from 1 species